GUCCCAAUGGCGGAAUGGCAGACGCGGCCGUUUCAAGAACGGCUUCUUCGGAGUGGGGGUUCGAGUCCCUCUUGGGAUACCA
rnacentral:tRNA from 1 species